CAGCUCCCAAUAAAUUAUACCAAAGUCCAGAGUCAGCUCACUCCUCCAUUACGUCGCACAUCCACAAAGGAGGGGAAGGAGAGGCAGCGGCAUCGCUGCCCGCCGCACGGACGGAUCACCAGCAGCUCCGAUGAAGGCGGAGGUUUUAAACUACAGUUGUGUCUAAGAUGAAGUUUGGGGAUUAGGUGUCUCUGCUUUCCAUUACCCCAGACAGAAGUGUGCUGGCAGAAUGUCUGCCCUCGGAGCCAGCUGGCUGGCCAAAGGUGAAAGGAGAGGAGGAGAAAAAGAGGCGUCUAUCAAUCCACUUUUUCCAUCAGCACGGUCCUCUAAGGUAGACUGCUGGCCUCUCUGUCACGCCCCCGGAAACUGAAGCUCUGGGAUGUGUCGGAGUUACCCAAGGACACAGAAAGCCUUGUCCCCAAGGGCCUGUCCUAGAUUGUGAGACUGUUGGUAUAUCUGCUCUCAGCGCUAACAAUAAAAAAUAGAAAAGAAAAGCCCACAGUGUAAGUCUUAAAUUUGAGGGAAAUGCUGUAUUGGCUUAGGACUGAGAAAUAGAUGUUUGACAUCUAGAUAGAAAUAUCCCAAAU
rnacentral:lncRNA from 1 species